GUCUACGGCCAUGCAACCCUGAACAAGCCUGAUCCCGUCUGAUCUCGGAAGCUAAGCAAGAUUAGGCCUGGUUAGUACUUGGAUGGGAGACCACCUAGAAAGACCAGGUGCUGCAGCUG
rnacentral:rRNA from 1 species